rnacentral:rRNA from 1 species
ACGAGUUUGAUCCUGGCUCAAGAACGAACGCUGGCGGCAUGCCUAAUACAUGCAAGUCGAACGAGAUCUUCGGAUCUAGUGGCGCACGGGUGCGUAACGCGUGGGAAUCUACCCUUGGGUUCGGAAUAACAGUUAGAAAUGACUGCUAAUACCGGAUGAUGACGUAAGUCCAAAGAUUUAUCGCCCAAGGAUGAGCCCGCGUAAGAUUAGCUAGUUGGUGAGGUAAAGGCUCACCAAGGCUACGAUCUUUAGCUGGUCUGAGAGGAUGAUCAGCCACACUGGGACUGAGACACGGCCCAGACUCCUACGGGAGGCAGCAGUAGGGAAUAUUGGACAAUGGGCGAAAGCCUGAUCCAGCAAUGCCGCGUGAGUGAUGAAGGCCUUAGGGUUGUAAAGCUCUUUUACCCGAGAUGAUAAUGACAGUAUCGGGAGAAUAAGCUCCGGCUAACUCCGUG